GACGAACGCUGGCGGCGUGCCUAAUACAUGCAAGUUGAGCGAUGAAGAUUGGUGCUUGCACCAAUUUGAAGAGCAGCGAACGGGUGAGUAACGCGUGUGGAAUCUGCCUUUGAGCGGGGGACAACAUUUGGAAACGAAUGCUAAUACCGCAUAACAACUUUAAACAUAAGUUUUAAGUUUGAAAGAUGCAAUUGCAUCACUCAAAGAUGAUCCCGCGUUGUAUUAGCUAGUUGGUGAGGUAAAGGCUCAUCAAGGCGAUGAUACAUAGCCGACCUGAGAGGAUGAUCGGCCACAUUGGGACGGAGACACGGCCCAAACGCCUACGGGAGGCAGCAGUAGGGAAUCUUCGGCAAUGGGCGAAAGACUGACCGAGCAACGCCGCGUGAGUGAAGAAGGUUUUCGGAUCGUAGAACUCUGUUGGUAGAGAAGAACGUUGGUGAGAGUGGAAAGCUCAUCAAGUGACGGUAACUACCCAGAAAGGGACGGCUAACUACGUG
rnacentral:rRNA from 1 species